GACGAACGCUGGCGGCGUGCUUAACACAUGCAAGUCGAACGGGCCUUGUCCCCUUUUUUUUUGGGGGUGGGGGUCGUGGCGAACGGGUGAGUAACACGUGAGUAACCUGCCCCUCACUUCUGGAUAACCGCUUGAAAGGGUGGCUAAUACGGGGUGUUCUGACCUGCUCGCAUGGGUGGGUUUGGAAAGAUUCGACGGGUUUUGGUUGUUUUGGUGGGGGAUGGGCUCGCGGCCUAUCAGCUUGUUGGUGGGGUGAUGGCCUGCCAAGGCUUUGACGGGUAGCCGGCCUGAGAGGGUGGGCGGGCACACUGGGGCUGAGGCACGGCCCAGACUCCUACGGGAGGCAGCAGUGGGGAAUAUUGCACAAUGGGCGCAAGCCUGAUGCAGCGACGCCGCGUGAGGGAUGGAGGCCCUCGGGUUGUGAACCUCUUUCGCCAGUGAAGAAGGUCCUGCUCUUUGUGGUGGGGUUGACGGUAGCUGGGUUAAUGAAGCGCCGGCUAACUACGUG
rnacentral:rRNA from 1 species